rnacentral:rRNA from 1 species
UACGUAGGGUCCAAGCGUUAAUCGGAAUUACUGGGCGUAAAGCGUGCGCAGGUGGUUACGCAAGUCUGAUGUGAAAUCCCCGGGCUCAACCUGGGAACUGCAUUGGAGACUGCGUGGCUAGAGUGUGGCAGAGGGGGGUGGAAUUCCGCGUGUAGCAGUGAAAUGCGUAGAGAUGCGGAGGAACACCAAUGGCGAAGGCAGCCCCCUGGGUUAACACUGACACUCAUGCACGAAAGCGUGGGGAGCAAACAGG